rnacentral:rRNA from 1 species
CAGUCGCCGCGGUAAUACGUAGGGUGCAAGCGUUAAUCGGAAUUACUGGGCGUAAAGCGUGCGCAGGCGGUCCGCUAAGACAGAUGUGAAAUCCCCGGGCUUAACCUGGGAACUGCAUUUGUGACUGGCGGGCUAGAGUAUGGCAGAGGGGGGUAGAAUUCCACGUGUAGCAGUGAAAUGCGUAGAGAUGUGGAGGAAUACCGAUGGCGAAGGCAGCCCCCUGGGCCAAUACUGACGCUCAUGCACGAAAGCGUGGGGAGCAAACAGGAUUAGAUACCCCUGUAGUCCCUGUCUCUUAUAA